rnacentral:rRNA from 1 species
UUUGUUACUUCAAACCAAUCGGACUUCGGUCUGACAUCAAGUGAUAUUGAACAAUUUAGCUGAUCGCACGGUCUAAGAACCGGCGACAUAUCCUUCAAAUGUCUGCCUUAUCAACUUUCGAUGGUAGAUUAUGCGCCUACCAUGGUUGUAACGGGUAACGGAGAAUCAGGGUUUGAUUCCGGAGAGGGAGCCUGAGAAACGGCUACCACAUCCAAGGAAGGCAGCAGGCACGCAAAUUACCCACUCCCGGCACGGGGAGGUAGUGACGAAAAAUAACAAGCUGGUCUCAAUGAGUUCCAGCAUUGUAAUGGGAACAAUUUAAAUCUUUUAUCGAGGAUCUAUUGGAGGGCAAGUCUGGUGCCAGCAGCCGCGGUAGUUCCAGCUCCAAUAGCGUAUAUUAAAGUUGUUGCGGUUAAAAAGCUCGUAGUUGGAUCUAGGAUUAGGGCUACGGUCGUUCAGCUUGGACGUACUGUAUGCCCGACUCCUUUUCUCUAGUAUUCGAUUGUUGCUCUUAAAUGAGUGACUUUAGUUGCUGGAACUUUUACCUUGAAAAAAUUGAAGUGCUCAAAGCAGGUU